rnacentral:tRNA from 1 species
GCCCUCGUCGUCUAGCUUGGAUAGGACGUAAGCUUGCGGAGCUUGAAACCAGAGUUCAAAAACGGUUUGAAAAUCUCUGCGGGGGCA